AGGUGUUCAUGCAGAAGUCCAGAAAGUGAAGUCGCUGUACUGUUUUAUUUUUAUUUUAAACAGAUGGAGGAUCACUAACAGGAGGAUGGGAAGACUCCAGAAUCCACUCUGACUGGAUUCUGGUGGAUACAGCAGUGUUUACAGGUAAGACCAUUUAAAUGGACAGCAUUUAUAGAGUUUAUCAUCCUCAUACUGACCCAGGGUCAGUGUAACAUACAAUCCUACCUGUGUGAACAAAGUCUGGCUCCUUUAAUCCUGCAUGACAAACCUCAGGAUGCAGGUCAGCUGGAGACUUUGAAGUUUCGUAGCAUUGGGCCUGAUGAUGGUGUGUAAAGCCUCUACUUACCUUCUACACUGUGUUUUUGUUACUAAUUUAUUCACAAGUUUUGGAUUGUUUGCUGUUGUUUAUCAGUCGGGUGUAGACAGAUUUCAGAGGAGCAAAGAGGAGCACCGUUGCUUCAUCAUUAACACUUUAAAGCAGAACUGGAUGGAAAUCAAAGGUCCUUAAAAGCUUUUUCUGCUCCCCGACCCUCAAAGCCAAACUUCACCAUGACAGCUGACGGGAUACGAUUAUUAAAAAGUGACGUUAUCAGAAACAAAGGUUCAGUAAAUAUCAAACACUUCAGUGGAUUUUCUCUCACAUAUAUUUGGUGUUUGCCCUGCGAUAAACUGUCCUGCUUUUGCCCCGUGGCAGCUGGGACAGGCUUCAACCCUGGAGUGGAAAUAUUGUAUUCCAAGUAUGUAAUCUGAUCAUUUACAAAGUCAAAGUCUCUCAUCAACAUGUAAGUAAUGAUUAUAAACAUGGGAAAGCAGACAUAAACGUGACAUAUGAGGACAGCUACAUGUAGUGUGUUUGCAGGUCUAUCAGCACAUAGAAGAGUUUGUUAAAGUCUGAUUCAGUGAACCCUGAUUGGUCCAGUCUGUCUGGAUAAAUUCAGUUAGCUGAUCUGUGACCAUUUAUUCACACAUUUUCUUAACUAAUGGUUCAGUUCAGGAUGACAGAGGGGCUGGAGCUGGAUAUGUUCAAUAAAUACACCUUACAAAGUCAACAAUAAACCUGCAUCCAUGUACGUUGUUGUCCACAGGAGGAGAAAAUCCAGAUGACCAAAGUGGAAGACUGUGGAACAUGUGAAUGCAUGUUUGUGUGUUUCUGCCUGUGUCUUUCAGAGGAGGCUGGAGGCUCUGAAAGGCUCCCCCACCAGUUCCUGCUCAAUCAAAGCAGCAAACUUGAUGCUAUAGGCUACAUUUUAUUUAAUGGUAGAAAAAUAAGGUUUCAAAUCAGUGGGUAGCAGAUGUUAUUACCCAUUUGGAGCCCACUUCUACUAUAAGAGAUUUCCUGGAGACGAUGCAGAGGGCUUAUGAAUUUAUCUUGACUAAGAGUGAAAUCUUUUUGUGCUCACAGCACUUUCAGUUCAGUUAAAUGUCAUGUAUGUAGCAGCAUUUCACAACAAGUGGUCUCAACCUGCUGUCAGAACCAGAAUCCUUUAUUCAUGAAGUCAGGACCCUGAGUGAAGAACAGGCAGAGACUCUGAUCAACAAGCAGGCAGAGCCUCACCGAGGAGCAGCCUGAGACGACCACCGAGGAGCAUCAAGCUUCUCCUCGAGGAGCAUCCAAAGAGCCUGUCAGACGAGCAGACAGAGACUGUUUUUGUUCUACAUCUUCUUCCUUUAUCUCCUCCUUCUGGUCCAUGCUCCAAGUCUUUCCAGCAGAAGAAGAGAGAAAGCUCCUCUCAACACCUUCCACCACCUGUUAAACCCACAGACCAUCUCUGCAGUCUCUUCAUCCACCUGCUGCCAUCUCCCAGUCUUUAAGUCAGGGUGGCCAACAUGAAAAUAAGAGGAGGAAGAGUAAGUUUAGUUUUGCAUCGUACGUCUUUAGAUUCUUACGUUUGUUCCUAAAUGAACGUGACUUCAGAAAAUGAUGCACAUGUUGUCCUAGAGAACUUACAAACCAGUGCACAGCAUUUUAUUCACCAGUUAUUUAGCUGUAUUUUGGUGGCCA
ensembl:lncRNA